rnacentral:rRNA from 1 species
AUAGCGUAUAUUAAAGUUGUUGCAGUUAAAAAGCUCGUAGUUGAACCUUGGGUCUGGGUGACCGGUCUGCCUCACCGCAUGCACUGGGAACCCGGACCUUUCCUUCUGGCAAACCUCAUGCCCUUCACUGGGUGUGUUGGGGAACCAGGACUUUUACUUUGAAAAAAUUAGAGUGUUCAAAGCAGGCAUUUGCUCGAAUACAUUAGCAUGGAAUAAUAGAAUAGGACGUGCGGUUCUAUUUUGUUGGUUUCUAGAGCCGCCGUAAUGAUUAAUAGGGAUAGUCGGGGGCAUCCGUAUUCAAUUGUCAGAGGUGAAAUUCUUGGAUUUAUUGAAGACGAACUACUG